GUGGGAAUCUACCCAGCUCUACGGAAUAACGCAGGGAAACUUGUGCUAAUACCGUAUACGUCCUCCGGGAGAAAGAUUUAUCGGAGUUGGAUGAGCCCGCGUUAGAUUAGUUUGUUGGUGGGGUAACGGCCUACCAAGACUACGAUCUAUAGCUGGUCUGAGAGGAUGAUCAGCCACACUGGGACUGAGACACGGCCCAGACUCCUACGGGAGGCAGCAGUGGGGAAUCUUAGACAAUGGGGGAAACCCUGAUCUAGCCAUGCCGCGUGAGUGACGAAGGCCCUAGGGUCGUAAAGCUCUUUCAGCUGUGAAGAUAAUGACGGUAGCAGCAGAAGAAACCCCGGCUAACUCCGUGCCAGCAGCCGCGGUAAUACGGAGGGGGUUAGCGUUGUUCGGAAUUACUGGGCGUAAAGCGCGCGUAGGGGACUAUUAAGUCGAGGGUGAAAUCCCGGGGCUCAACCCCGAACUGCCUUCGAUACUGGUAGUCUUGAGUUCGAGAGAGGUGAGUGGAAUUCCGAGUGUAGAGGUGAAAUUCGUAGAUAUUCGGAGGAACACCAGUGGCGAAGGGGCUCACUGGCUCGAUACUGACGCUGAGGUGCGAAAGUGUGGGGAGCAAACAGGAUUAGAUACCCUGGUAGUCCACGCCGUAAACGAUGUCUGCUAGCCGUUGGGGAACUUGAGUCCUUAGUGGCGCAGUAACGCACUAAGUAGACCGCCUGGGGAGUACGGCCGCAAGUUAAAACUCAAAUGAAUUGACGGGG
rnacentral:rRNA from 1 species